UGGCUCAGGACGAACGCUGGCGGCGUGCCUAAUACAUGCAAGUCGAGCGCAGGAAGCUGACGGAACUCUUCGGAGGGAAGGCAGUGGAAUGAGCGGCGGACGGGUGAGUAACACGUAAGGAACCUGCCUCAAGGAUUGGGAUAACUCCGAGAAAUCGGAGCUAAUACCGGAUAGUUCAUCGGACCGCAUGGUCCGCUGAUGAAAGGCGCUCCGGCGUCACCUUGAGAUGGCCUUGCGGUGCAUUAGCUAGUUGGUGGGGUAACGGCCCACCAAGGCGACGAUGCAUAGCCGACCUGAGAGGGUGAUCGGCCACACUGGGACUGAGACACGGCCCAGACUCCUACGGGAGGCAGCAGUAGGGAAUCUUCCACAAUGGACGAAAGUCUGAUGGAGCAACGCCGCGUGAGUGAUGAAGGUUUUCGGAUCGUAAAACUCUGUUGUAAGGGAAGAACACGUACGAGAGGGAAUGCUCGUACCUUGACGGUACCUUACGAGAAAGCCACGGCUAACUACGUGCCAGCAGCCGCGGUAAUACGUAGGUGGCAAGCGUUGUCCGGAAUUAUUGGGCGUAAAGCGCGCGCAGGCGGCCUUUUAAGUCUGAUGUGAAAGCCCCCGGCUCAACCGGGGAGGGCCAUUGGAAACUGGAAGGCUUGAGUACAGAAGAGAAGAGUGGAAUUCCACGUGUAGCGGUGAAAUGCGUAGAGAUGUGGAGGAACACCAGUGGCGAAGGCGACUCUUUGGUCUGUAACUGACGCUGA
rnacentral:rRNA from 1 species